CUAGGGCAGAAUAGUUCCAUUCAUUGCUUGAGAAUAUACUUUCAGAAAAGAUGGUUUAGAUGGUUGAAUCCGUUUUCCUUGAUGGUACAAUAGCUCAAUACAUAUUUGACAAGAUGACUUGACUGUGAGUCUUUCUUGAGCGUAAGUAAAAAUGAUUUCUACGAUUUGCAUAAACUGCUGCAUCGACAACCUAUGCCCCCCUCCUGGAACCUAUGCCCCUCCUUUGCCACCCUAAGGAAAAAUCUCUGGAGCCGCCACUGAAUGUUGGAGGUUCUAUUUGAGACCAAUGCUCAUCUAUCCUGAAAGUUUCAUGAAGAUUGGUCCAGCCAUUUUCCCGUAAUGUCGUUAACAAAAAAACAAAGAAACAAACAUACAAAGAAACCCCACCAAAAACAAUACCUCACCCCCUGGUGGACUCCAUCCUGGGCAAGGACAGUGCAGAGACAGGACAGGAAAUGAGUGGGAGAGAGGGACAGGGAGGGAUCAGGAAAUAACCUCAGGUCGGAACCGAACCCGGGUCCCCGGAUUCACGGCAUGGCGCCCCAGCCACCUGAGCCACGACACCCCCACAGAAUCAGUGGGAUUGAAGGUCCAGAUAAACAAGUGGUCAGUGGCAGCAGUCGUAAAGCCACAGGGCUGCACCACAUGAGGUCUGGAUACUUCAGAGGGCAACAAAUGGAGACAGCCCCUAAAAUACAAUGAGAGAAGAGCUUCAAAGAGACACAGAAAGAGAAGUAUGCGACUAUUGAAGAAAAGAGCAAAGGAUAAAACAGAUAUGUGUCUCAGCAUCAAUUGGCAGUUUACAGACUCAGUUGAGAAAAGCACAACUGAUGCUUUACAAGCACUACAUCAGGCUGCACAGUAUGAACCUCAACACAAGUCUGAUUCAUGCAGAUUUACACAUACACAAAAUAUAAAUGGUAUUCUAUC